rnacentral:misc_RNA from 1 species
UAUCUUGACUCGCCUGGCAAAUCAGGACCAAGACCAGGAGGUUAAAGAGUGUGCUAUAUCUUGCAUGAGCCUUGUCAUUUCAACUUUUGGCGAUAAUCUACAAAGACAACUACCAACCUGCCUCCCCAUCCUUGUCGAUAGAAUGGGUAAUGAGAUUACCCGUCUUACAGCUGUAAAGGCUUUUGCAGUAAUUGCUAGUUCACCG